GUAAUCAUGAAUUUUUGAGGCAGCGUUAAGCUGGAUUUCUUAAGGUCCUCAGAGGAGGGAGAAGGUGAAGAAAAGCAAACUGGUAACUUCAGCUUAGUAAUACUGAAAAAAAGAAAUCUCUUUGGUAAGAGAGAAUACCGACUGUAAGAGAAUUGGAACGUUGCUCUAAUUGAAAGGAAUGCUGAACUAAUGUUUGUAUUAGAAUAAAUUACUGGAAAAAAACA
rnacentral:lncRNA from 1 species